rnacentral:rRNA from 1 species
GAUUAACGCUGGCGGCGUGCCUAACACAUGCAAGUCGAGCGGCAGCGAGUUUUACACUGAAUUCUGGAAGCUUCUAGUUGAAAGAGAAGAUUUAUUCAAGAAUUUUGUGUAAAAUGUCGGCGAGCGGCGGACGGCUGAGUAACGCGUGGGAACGUACCCCAAAGUGAGGGAUAACGCAUCGAAAGGUGUGCUAAUACCGCAUAUGGUCUUCGGAUUAAAGCCUUCGGGCGCUUUGGGAACGGCCUGCGUAAGAUUAGAUAGUUGGUGGGGUAAUGGCCUACCAAGGCGACGAUCUUUAACUGGUUUGAGAGGAUGAUCAGUCAGACUGGAACUGAGACACGGUCCAGACUCCUACGGGAGGCAGCAGUGAGGAAUCUUCCACAAUGGGCGAAAGCCUGAUGGAGCAACGCCGCGUGCAGGAUGAAGGCCUUCGGGUUGUAAACUGCUUUUAUAAGUGAGGAUUAUGACAGUAACUUAUGAAUAAGGAUCGGCUAACUACGUG